rnacentral:rRNA from 1 species
UACGUAGGGGGCAAGCGUUGUCCGGAAUCAUUGGGCGUAAAGAGCGUGUAGGCGGCCAGAUAAGUCCGCUGUGAAAUCUCGAGGCUCAACUUCGAGCUGUCGGUGGAAACUGUCUGGCUAGAGUCCGGAAGAGGAGAAUGGAAUUCCUGGUGUAGCGGUGAAAUGCGCAGAUAUCAGGAAGAACACCCGUGGCGAAGGCGGUUCUCUGGGACGGUACUGACGCUGAGGCACGAAAGCGUGGGAGCAAACAGG